AGCAGGGCUGUGCCUGACAACGCUCACCCGCGGCCCUAUGGGGGAUGAACCGAGGGUUGCCGAGGAGCGCUAUCAGGUUGGAGGAUGGGUGCCCAUUCACGUGAGCUGCCCCAGGGAACAGGGACGGAGGGAGGAAUGCAAGAUCCUCCCUGACCUUGUGCAGACCUUCAUGCCGAAGGGCAGUGGGGCGGGGCUGAGUCUCCGCAGGAUCCCGGAGCCUUUUCAACGAACGGCACCCCAAGCUGGGCGUCGGGCAGGAGCAGAGUGGGCCGCCACCCGCGGACCCCGCGACCUGCGCGCAGCUCGUGCUUCCCAGCACCCCGAAAGCUCGGCGGCCAGGCGGCCACGUCGCAGGGGGAUGUGAGCUGCAGAGACGGGGGAAAGGGCCAGUUUUAACCUCCGAGAAUCAAAGAGGAAUCAAGAUACCGUGGCUGAGGACCGGCGGCUGGGAUGCCGAAUACUCCG
rnacentral:lncRNA from 1 species